AUGGUUAUUAGUACAACAUUUCAUGAAAGACAAGAAAUUAAAAGAAAGAGACAUUUUGAUGAGAACCCAGAUGACAAAAAUGUUGCCACACAGUCUACAAGAGGUCAUUUAGAAACGGUUAUUUUACAACUAUUGUUGAUCAAGCAAUUAUGUCACUUACAAGCAGAUUUGAACAAUAUGAGGUUAGCAGAAAAUUUUCGUUUCUUAUUUACUUCCAAAUCAUUGCAGUCAUUGGAUGAUGAGAGCUUGAAAUCUUGUGAUAAUCUUGAGGCGGCCCUUAAAAAAGAUAGCAAAUCUGACAUUGAUGCUAAUGAACUGCAGUGGAGUUGA
rnacentral:rRNA from 1 species